GGGGAUUUAGCUUAGUAGUAUAAGUACCCACCUGGCAAGUGUAAAGUCGUGAGUUCAAUCCCCAGUACUCCCCG
rnacentral:tRNA from 1 species